rnacentral:rRNA from 1 species
UACGGAGGGUGCGAGCGUUAAUCGGAAUUACUGGGCGUAAAGCGCACGCAGGCGGUUUGUUAAGCUAGAUGUGAAAGCCCGGGGCUUAACCUCGGAACUGCAUUUUGAACUGGCAGACUAGAGUCUUGUAGAGGGGGGUAGAAUUUCAGGUGUAGCGGUGAAAUGCGUAGAUAUAGGAAGGAACACCAAUGGCGAAGGCAGCUUACUGGACAACAACUGACGCUGAGGCACGAAAGCGUGGGGAGCGAACGGG